GGCCUCGUAGCUCAGCUGGUAGAUCACCCGCGGUACUAGAGCGACGGUGGUGACCAUGCGUGGGUUCGAAUCCCGCCGAGGCCA
rnacentral:tRNA from 1 species